rnacentral:rRNA from 1 species
CACGUAGGGCGCAAGCGUUGUCCGGAAUUAUUGGGCGUAAAGAGCUCGUAGGCGGUCUGUUGCGUCCGCUGUGAAAACUCGGGGCUUAACCCCGAGCCUGCAGUGGAUACGGGCAGACUAGAGGUAGGUAGGGGUGAAUGGAAUUCCCGGUGUAGCGGUGAAAUGCGCAGAUAUCGGGAGGAACACCGGUGGCGAAGGCGGUUCUCUGGGCCUUUCCUGACGCUGAGGAGCGAAAGCGUGGGGAGCGAACAGG